CAGAAUACUCAAGCAAAGAGAACUUCAGUUUGAGCCCCCGAAACUGGACGAGCUACUCCGAGACAGCCUAUUAUAGGGCCUAUCCGUCUCUGUUGCAAAAGAGUGGAGAGAGCUCCGAGUAGAAGUGAAAUACCUAUCGAGUCUAGUUAUAGCUGGUUGUUUAGGAAAUGAAUAGGAGUUCAGCCCUCCGGCUUCUCAAAUCCUUAAGAUUCUUCUUCUGAUGUUAAAGAGAAACCAGAGGAGUUAGUCAAAGGAGGUACAGCUCCUUUGAACCAGGACACAACCUUAUAAGGCGGUCAAGGAUCAUAAUUUUUAAGGUAGACUGUUUCAGUGG
rnacentral:rRNA from 1 species